rnacentral:lncRNA from 1 species
GUAAUUAGCCAUUAAUUUCUCUAUGUACUGUAAGAAUCCAAACAACAUCCCUUUUUAUCAAUUUUAUUAAGGGGUUGUUUAGUAGAUUAAAUAAGAAUAGCAUUAGUAACAAUCCUUCCACUUUUUUUUUUCUUUUUCUUUCUUUAAUGCUUUCGUCAGAGCAUUCUAUGUUUGCUCACUGGAGCUGGUGAAAGCAGUAUCGGUGAGUAUAAUCGGCGGCUAAAAAGAGACGAUGAUGAUUUUGUCAUUCCCUUCUGAACUUAUUAAUCA